rnacentral:rRNA from 1 species
UACGUAGGGGGCAAGCGUUGUCCGGAAUCAUUGGGCGUAAAGCGCGUGUAGGCGGUUCGGUAAGUCCGCUGUGAAAGUCGGGGGCUCAACCCUCGGAUGCCGGUGGAUACUGUCGGGCUUGAGUACGGAAGAGGCGAGUGGAAUUCCUGGUGUAGCGGUGAAAUGCGCAGAUAUCAGGAGAAACACCAAUUGCGAAGGCAGCUCGCUGGGACGUUACUGACGCUGAGACGCGAAAGCGUGGGGAGCAAAUAGG